CCGCAACUAUCUUAGCAACAGUGGCUGCACCCACUUCUGCUGGAUGAUUAUGUUCUUGUUUGCCAGGUGUGAAUGUGCUGCCAACCUGUUAAAAAAUAAAUCAAUUAAUAUAUGAGUGAAAACAACAAACAGCAAAAGGGCAAGAGUGGAAGUAUCUCUGGACUGAUAACCAACAACAAUUCAUUCUCCAAUGCACAGGAUAACAGAGUUACCAGGUCCAAGUCAUGAUCACCAAAAAGGCCCCAAACAAAA